rnacentral:rRNA from 1 species
GACGUAGGGGGCGAGCGUUGCCCGGAUUCACUGGGCGUAAAGCGCGUGUAGGCGGUCUGUUAAGUCGGAUGUGAAAGCUCCGGGCUCAACUCGGAAAUUGCAUCCGAUACUGGCAGACUUGAGGACGGUAGAGGUCGGUGGAAUACCAGGUGUACCGGUGAAAUGGGCAGAUAUCUGGUGGAACACCAGUGGCGAAGGCGGCCGACUGGGCCGAUCCUGACGCUGAGGCGCGAAAGCGUGGGGAGCAAACGGG